rnacentral:rRNA from 1 species
GAUGAACGCUGGCGGCGUGCUUAACACAUGCAAGUCGAACGGAAGGGCUCCUGCUUGCCGGGGUACUCGAGUGGCGAACGGGUGAGUAACACGUGGGUGAUCUGCCCUGCACUUCGGGAUAAGCCUGGGAAACUGGGUCUAAUACCGGAUAGGACGAUGGUUUGGAUGCCAUUGUGGAAAGUUUUUCGGUGUGGGAUGAGCUCGCGGGCUAUCAGCUUGUUGGUGGGGUAAUGGCCUACCAAGGCGUCGACGGGUAGCCGGCCUGUGAGGGUGUACGGCCACAUUGGGUCUGAGAGACGGCCCCGGCUCCUACGGGUGGGAGCAGUGGGGAAUAUUGCACAAUGGGCGCAAGCCUGAUGCAGCGACGCCGCGUGGCGGAUGACGGUCUUCGGGUUGUAAACUCCUUUCGCUAGGGACGAAGCGUUUUGUGACGGUACCUGGAGAAGAAGCACCGGCUAACUACGUG